GCGGAGGAUCAUUACUGAGUUUACGCUCUACAACCCUUUGUGAACAUACCUAUAACUGUUGCUUCGGCGGGUAGGGUCUCCGCGACCCUCCCGGCCUCCCGCCUCCGGGCGGGUCGGCGCCCGCCGGAGGAUAACCAAACUCUGAUUUAACGACGUUUCUUCUGAGUGGUACAAGCAAAUAAUCAAAACUUUUAACAACGGAUCUCUUGGUUCUGGCAUCGAUGAAGAACGCAGCGAAAUGCGAUAAGUAAUGUGAAUUGCAGAAUUCAGUGAAUCAUCGAAUCUUUGAACGCACAUUGCGCCCGCCAGCAUUCUGGCGGGCAUGCCUGUUCGAGCGUCAUUUCAACCCUCAAGCUCUGCUUGGUGUUGGGGCCCUACAGCUGAUGUAGGCCCUCAAAGGUAGUGGCGGACCCUCUCGGAGCCUCCUUUGCGUAGUAACUUUACGUCUCGCACUGGGAUCCGGAGGGACUCUUGCCGUAAAACCCCCAAUUUUCCAAAGGUUGACCUG
rnacentral:rRNA from 1 species